CACUCAACACCCACAUCUGAAGUCACUUUGCCAUUGGGGGACACUCAGCGGACCUGAGUGUCACUUGACAAUCAGCAAGGGAUGUUAUUACGGACUACAGACGUUCUUUAGGAUGCAGAGCAACAACUAUGCAACUUACUUUAUUGCCUUCUCUGAAUGACCAAGACCUCGCUGACUAUUUUUGCCAAAGAACUACCAUAGAAAAUUCAUCUACGGAAGAUGGACAUUUUUCACUGGGUCAUGAGGCAUGUGCACAUAAGUAGAAAUGACCAGGAGCGGCUGCUAUGUAAGUACGGGGCCCAUCACUGCGCCGAACUGGCCUCCUUCCCAGAUGCUCCUGCCGUCUGUUGGAAACGCAGCCCAGUGGAAGCAGACAGUAGACUAAAAAUUGCACUUUUCCUCGUGUCUAUGGAAAAGUGUGUUUAUCAGGCUCUAAUGCUUAGCCACAUAAACAGGCUUUAAGUCAUGGCUUCAGAUACUAAAGUAAACAUG